UCGUCGGCUGCAUCCCUCACCCACGUCGCUGUUGCAGGAUCUUCAUCCGUCAUCCUGAGCAAUUGGGGCGGCGAUGCGGGCGAGCUUCACGAUAGUGGGGAGGACCAGGCCGCGGUGAAGGCAGGUCAUGCGCUCCUCACGCUCCACGAACGGAACCUGCGCACGAAGGCGGUAGCGCGGGGUGGCAGCCGGCAAUGAGGCGGCCGCGCUACGUGACGAGCUACGGGUCCCCCUUUGUGAUGUUUUGGCAUCGCUCCUUCAUCGCACAUCCUCAGGUACGUCAAUUCACUUCCUUCCCUUCCCUUCAUCCCUCGGUCCCACGCUCGUGGCGCUGAAGUGGUGGCAACAGGCGAUGGCGGUGGUGUCGCUGAUGGCGGCGAGGACAGCAUGUGGCAGCUCCCGAAGCAUGAACACGACCGCACCUCGGGCCUGCCGUCUGCCAAGAUAUGGCUCUGGCCGAUUGACAAUGGAGGUUUGGGAUCCUUCCUCUCAGCACCCACUCCUGGAAGAAUCAGCGGUGCGCCACGCCGAUUGAACCCCGUCGAGAUCACUCGCCAAGAUUGCUAUUCUGAAGUUUAUUGUAAAGAAAGUGAAGAGUGAGACAGGAUCCGUUUAUUUUCAACCGG